UUAAGUGAUCCACCUGCCUUGGCCUCUCAAAAUGCUGGGAUUGCAGGCAUGAGCCACCAUGUCUGAUGGAGACUGUCUUUCCCUUGGUCUUCUUUGGGUCUCUAUCCCUCCCCACUGUCAAGCUGAUGGCCGUGUCCCUCCAUGCCAGCAACGUGUGUGCCUCUGUCAUUCUCAAGGGUAAUAGCAGCUUACACCCAUCUCAUAGGUAGCGUAGACAGUUGUUUAUAUUAUUCAUGCCUCUUUUAAAAGUAACUUCUGUAUACCUUUUAUUUUAAUAAAAAAGAAUUCAUAAUUCAAUAUAAUUGGAAACACUUCUGAAUAUUUCCUGAAGACUCUUAAGGAUUAUUCAGGCUGCAUGGUGUGGGGAAAAACCAAGGCUGGGUCUUAGAGGGUUAAAAACACCUGUCUGGAAGGGGACCCUGAAGAUCGCAGCUCAUCUCAGGGAACUUGCCCUGAGCAUUAAGGCAGGAAGCCACCUAGAACGGUAAGGAUCACCCCGAACUCGGGAGGCUUUAGAAUUUAUUUUUUCAUUAAUGAAUGCUUCAGAAAGUGCACUGUCCCUAAUUCCCUUCUUUGAAAGAUGGAAACUUUAAUGUGCAGUUAAUUAAAUGUUGUGUUGAUUUGCAAGCCCUGAGCUCUCAGAGGCCUUGGGGAGGUGGAGGCAGGUUUAGAAAUCAAACAACGGGCGGGACUGGCUGUCCCAGCUCUGACCACAGUGCAGGCAGCACUGUUUGCUGCAGAUGCCCAGGAGGCGUCCAAGGCACCCCUGUGACCGGACCCGCGGUUCUGAGCCUUGGUGAUUCGUGAACGGCUCUGUUUACCAUUGAGAGGAGCAGAGCCCAGGCAACAGGUCCAGGCCCCGGCAGGGAGGAGGCUGGCCUGAGCCUACAUCUCUCUCCUGGCUGCCUGGCUUUCAGAAGCAUUCUUUAAACAGUUUUUUUUUCCUAGUGCUUCAGCAGGUCUUUGUGCUGAGAGGAGCUGUGUCAUGCUGGAAUUCUUUUCACAACAAACUAAAGAACCCAGCUGUGGCGCUGGAUGCAGCCUGAGAACCUGCAGGCUUUCUGUAUGCAGUUAUUUACCAAGGGGAGCAGUGAAGCUGCUGAGAUGAGGAAAUGUAGUCAAGAAAUUGAGUAGUGUGAUUUUGCAAGAAAAAGUGUGGAUUGCUCCAAAUAACUAGCGCCUGUUAGCAGUGACAAGUUUAUCAUCCAUUUGGCCCUGGCUAAAGGCACAACUUAUGCAGUUACCAAAUGACAACUUGCAGGGUUAUUGCUACCAGAGCAUACUUCCUUCAUCCCUGCUCAUGGAAAGAACAAAGCAUCAGUACCUAAUGAAAAUACGCUUGCUUAUUGUUUUGGCAUGGGAAUCCCUUUCUUGUAACUCUUCUGCGUGGUCAGCUUGUUUACGAUGCCCCAAGGAGUUGGUGAAGAUCUGAGGAUUGGCUUUGGAGGGUCCUGGCAGUGCUACUAUAUUCUUAUUAUGAAUAAAAAUUUUAAACCCAA